AAAUUGAAGAGUUUGAUCAUGGCUCAGAUUGAACGCUGGCGGCAGGCCUAACACAUGCAAGUCGAGCGGUAGCACAGAGAGCUUGCUCUCGGGUGACGAGCGGCGGACGGUGAGUAAUGUCUGGGAAACUGCCUGAUGGAGGGGGAUAACUACUGGAAACGGUAGCUAAUACCGCAUAAUGUCGCAAGACCAAAGUGGGGGACCUUCGGGCCUCAUGCCAUCAGAUGUGCCCAGAUGGGAUUAGCUAGUAGGUGGGGUAACGGCUCACCUAGGCGACGAUCCCUAGCUGGUCUGAGAGGAUGACCAGCCACACUGGAACUGAGACACGGUCCAGACUCCUACGGGAGGCAGCAGUGGGGAAUAUUGCACAAUGGGCGCAAGCCUGAUGCAGCCAUGCCGCGUGUGUGAAGAAGGCCUUCGGGUUGUAAAGCACUUUCAGCGGGGAGGAAGGCGUUAAGGUUAAUAACCUUGGCGAUUGACGUUACCCGCAGAAGAAGCACCGGCUAACUCCGUGCCAGCAGCCGCGGUAAUACGGAGGGUGCAAGCGUUAAUCGGAAUUACUGGGCGUAAAGCGCACGCAGGCGGUCUGUCAAGUCGGAUGUGAAAUCCCCGGGCUCAACCUGGGAACUGCAUUCGAAACUGGCAGGCUAGAGUCUUGUAGAGGGGGGUAGAAUUCCAGGUGUAGCGGUGAAAUGCGUAGAGAUCUGGAGGAAUACCGGUGGCGAAGGCGGCCCCCUGGACAAAGACUGACGCUCAGGUGCGAAAGCGUGGGGAGCAAACAGGAUUAGAUACCCUGGUAGUCCACGCCGUAAACGAUGUCGAUUUGGAGGUUGUGCCCUUGAGGCGUGGCUUCCGGAGCUAACGCGUUAAAUCGACCGCCUGGGGAGUACGGCCGCAAGGUUAAAACUCAAAUGAAUUGACGGGGGCCCGCACAAGCGGUGGAGCAUGUGGUUUAAUUCGAUGCAACGCGAAGAACCUUACCUGGUCUUGACAUCCACAGAACUUUCCAGAGAUGGAUUGGUGCCUUCGGGAACUGUGAGACAGGUGCUGCAUGGCUGUCGUCAGCUCGUGUUGUGAAAUGUUGGGUUAAGUCCCGCAACGAGCGCAACCCUUAUCCUUUGUUGCCAGCGGUUAGGCCGGGAACUCAAAGGAGACUGCCAGUGAUAAACUGGAGGAAGGUGGGGAUGACGUCAAGUCAUCAUGGCCCUUACGACCAGGGCUACACACGUGCUACAAUGGCAUAUACAAAGAGAAGCGACCUCGCGAGAGCAAGCGGACCUCAUAAAGUAUGUCGUAGUCCGGAUUGGAGUCUGCAACUCGACUCCAUGAAGUCGGAAUCGCUAGUAAUCGUAGAUCAGAAUGCUACGGUGAAUACGUUCCCGGGCCUUGUACACACCGCCCGUCACACCAUGGGAGUGGGUUGCAAAAGAAGUAGGUAGCUUAACCUUCGGGAGGGCGCUUACCACUUUGUGAUUCAUGACUGGGUGAAGUCGUAACAAGGUAACCGUAGGGGAACCUGCGGUUGGAUCACCUCCUUA
rnacentral:rRNA from 1 species